rnacentral:rRNA from 1 species
UUAAUGGAGAGUUUGAUCCUGGCUCAGGACGAACGCUGGCGGCGUGCCUAAUACAUGCAAGUCGAGCGGGGUCAUUUAGAAGCUUGCUUCUAAAUGACCUAGCGGCGGACGGGUGAGUAACACGUAGGCAACCUGCCCACAAGACAGGGAUAACUACCGGAAACGGUAGCUAAUACCCGAUACAUCCUUUUCCUGCAUGGGAGAAGGAGGAAAGGCGGAGCAA